UAUUAGAAAGAAUACCAAUUGCGAAGGCAGCUUUCUGGAUCAUUACUGACACUGAGGAACGAAAGCAUGGGUAGCGAAGAGGAUUAGAUACCCUCGUAGUCCAUGCCGUAAACGAUGUGUGUUAGACGUUGGAAAUUUAUUUUCAGUGUCGCAGCGAAAGCGAUAAACACACCGCCUGGGGAGUACGACCGCAAGGUUAAAACUCAAAUGAAUUGACGGGGACCCGCACAAGUAGUGGAGCAUGUGGUUUAAUUCGAAGAUACGCGCAGAACCUUACCAACACUUGACAUGUUCGUCGCGACUCUAAGAGAUUAGAGUUUUCGGUUCGGCCGGACGAAACACAGGUGCUGCAUGGCUGUCGUCAGCUCGUGUCGUGAGAUGUUGGGUUAAGUCCCGCAACGAGCGCAACCCUCACUUUUAGUUGCCAUCAUUAAGUUGGGCACUCUGAAAGAACUGCCAGUGAUAAGCUGGAGGAAGGUGGGGAUGACGUCAAGUCCUCAUGGCCCUUACGUGUUGGGCUACACACGUGCUACAAUGGUAUCUACAAAAGGAAGCAAGACGGCGACGUUUAGCAAAUCCUUAAAAGAUACCUCAGUUCGGAUUGCACUCUGCAACUCGAGUGCAUGAAGCUGGAAUUACUAGUAAUCGUGGAUCAGCGUGCCACGGUGAAUGCGUUCCCGGGCCUUGUACACACCGCCCA
rnacentral:rRNA from 1 species